rnacentral:rRNA from 1 species
GACAGAGGGUGCAAACGUUGUUCGGAAUUACUGGGCGUAAAGCGCGUGUAGGCGGCUUGGCAAGUCGGGUGUGAAAGCCCUGGGCUCAACCUAGGAAGUGCACUCGAAACUGCCUCGCUGGAGUGCCGGAGAGGAAAGCGGAAUUCUCGGUGUAGAGGUGAAAUUCGUAGAUAUCGGAAGGAACAUCAGUGGCGAAAGCGGCUUCCUGGACCAGCACCGACGUUCAGGCACGAAAGCGUGGGGAGCAAACAGG